rnacentral:rRNA from 1 species
UACGUAGGGCGCAAGCGUUAUCCGGAAUUAUUGGGCGUAAAGAGCUUGUAGGCGGUUUGUCGCGUCUGCUGUGAAAAUCCGGGGCUCAACCCCGGACUUGCAGUGGGUACGGGCAGACUGGAGUGUGGUAGGGGAGACUGGAAUUCCUGGUGUAGCGGUGGAAUGCGCAGAUAUCAGGAAGAACACCGAUGGCGAAGGCAGGUCUCUGGGCCACUACUGACGCUGAGAAGCGAAAGCAUGGGGAGCGAACAGG